rnacentral:rRNA from 1 species
UACGAAGGGGGCUAGCGUUGCUCGGAAUCACUGGGCGUAAAGGGUGCGUAGGCGGAUCUUUAAGUCAGGGGUGAAAUCCUGGAGCUCAACUCCAGAACUGCCUUUGAUACUGAGGAUCUCGAGUUCGGGAGAGGUGAGUGGAACUGCGAGUGUAGAGGUGAAAUUCGUAGAUAUUCGCAAGAACACCAGUGGCGAAGGCGGCUCACUGGACCGGUUCUGACGCUGAGGCGCGAAAGCGUGGGGAGCAAACGGG